AUCUGGGCGGCGGAAUUCAGGAUGGCUGCGCUGCUCUUGUGCGGCGCGGUCGUUUGAUAUUUCCGUCGCCGUGUCGGACGUCGCGACCUGUUCGCGUUCGUCGGUCCCUGCUCGGAGGAAGCGCGAUCGAGCUCGUUGCGCGGUACGCUCCGGCGUGCGGCGCGGCGAAGACGCGACUCUCUGGCCGACGGCGGACAGUAAGCAACGGUGGUCGGCGUCGUGUCUCGCACUCGACGUCGGUGCCGGUCUGCGACGAUUUCUUCGGGCCUCUUUCCGACCCGUCUUGAAACACGGACCAAGGAGUCUAACAUGCGCGCGAGUCGCGGGGCAUCGAGCGUACCACGGUGCGCUCGUCAUGUGCGAAACCCGUCUCUGAAAGGCGUAAUGAAAGUGAACAGGGAAGAUGGCGUUCCGAGUCCACGUACCGUGAUCGAGUGUCGCGGCCGGACGUCCGCACUCCCGGGGCGUCUCGAUGGCUCGUCGCGGACGCGGACGAUCGUCUCUCCGGGGACGGUGGUCGGUCUGCGUCGGACCGA
rnacentral:rRNA from 1 species